AUGGCUCAGAUUGAACGCUGGCGGCGUGCUUAACACAUGCAAGUCGAACGCGAAAGGGACUUCGGUCCUGAGUAAAGUGGCGCACGGGUGAGUAACGCGUGGAUAAUCUGCCCUUAUGAUCGGGAUAACAGUUGGAAACGGCUGCUAAUACCGGAUACGCUCAAAAUGAACUUUUUUGAGGAAAGACGGCCUCUGCUUGCAUGCUAUCACGUAAGGAUGAGUCCGCGUCCCAUUAGCUUGUUGGCGGGUAACGGCCCACCAAGGCAACGAUGGGUAGCCGAUUUGAGAGGAUGAUCGGCCACACUGGAACUGAAACACGGUCCAGACUCCUACGGGAGGCAGCAGUGGGGAAUAUUGCGCAAUGGGCGAAAGCCUGACGCAGCGACGCCGCGUGAGGGAUGAAGGUUUUCGGAUCGUAAACCUCUGUCAGAAGGGAAGAAACUACGUUGUGCUAAUCAGCAGCGUACUGACGGUACCUUCAAAGGAAGCACCGGCUAACUCCGUGCCAGCAGCCGC
rnacentral:rRNA from 1 species